rnacentral:rRNA from 1 species
AUUGAACGCUGGCGGCAUGCUUUACACAUGCAAGUCGAACGGCAGCGCGGGCUUCGGCCUGGCGGCGAGUGGCGAACGGGUGAGUAAUACAUCGGAACGUGCCCAGUAGUGGGGGAUAGCUCGGCGAAAGCUGGAUUAAUACCGCAUACGACCUGAGGGUGGAAGCGGGGGAUCUUCGGACCUCGCGCUAUUGGAGCGGCCGAUGGCAGAUUAGCUAGUUGGUGGGGUAAAGGCCUACCAAGGCGACGAUCUGUAGCUGGUCUGAGAGGACGACCAGCCACACUGGGACUGAGACACGGCCCAGACUCCUACGGGAGGCAGCAGUGGGGAAUUUUGGACAAUGGGCGAAAGCCUGAUCCAGCAAUGCCGCGUGUGUGAUGAAGGCCUUCGGGUUGUAAAGCACUUUUGGCGGGAACGAAAAGGACUGUGCCAAUACCACGGUUCGAUGACGGUACCCGCAGAAUAAGCACCGGCUAACUACGUG